UUUUCGCUUAUUUUUACCUGUCCUUUUAUCUCGCAAUUGUAAUCGUACAGUUUUCUGGACAUUCCGAAAUCUGCGAUUUUGACGAUUCCGUGAUCGGCCAAAAGGACGUUGCGGGCGGCCAAAUCGCCAUGAAGGACCUGGGCAGCUCUCAGUUAUAAUUGCGGGAGUAACUAAUUUGAUUGGACGUACCUUUUUACUAGUCAAGUAUUCCAUCCCUCUAGCUAUUUGUAGAAUCCAGCGGAUCAAAUCCCACGUUGAAACGGAUUUAUUGUCUUCCACAUCUGCAUCUUCUCCGUAUUUCCAGAUUGUUUCCGGCUCUUGAAAGUCUAUCGCUUCCUCUGAUUGCAAAUUUGAAAUAAGAAUUUGAUUUGAAUAUCGAUUCGUUUAGAACUUACGUGGGAAAUCUGAGAUUGCAUCCGCUGGAUCCUGGUCGUACCUGGCAGACUUGUAGAUGUCUUGCAACUCGUUACCGCAUGUCAUGUUGCCCAAAUUAUCCAACAGGUUGACAAACUUGAGUCGAUGCUUAAUUAAAUAACAUCUCAAAUUACCGUAGCGACAGUAAUCGAUAAUAACCAAAAGUUCGCCUACAAAUAACUCAACAGAAAAAUGGCGCCCAGUAGGUUGACGACGUUAAGCUUCCGCUUUGAAAACUUCGCCAAAACAUCCUUCGCCCAGUUUGCCAACGAGUUUCAGACGAUUCCUCGGAAAUUCGCAUCGUUUGUCGUAGGGUAGAAAUUCCGUUUGGUAGUCGAUUGGCAAGUUUGGGUCGAUUCCAUCAGGAUUGCUGUUGAGAACACAGAUGACACGAUUCUUUUUUAAAUUUGGCUCACCUUGUCCAGAUACCAACUGAUGCCUAGUCCAAGUGUGAAAAUCCUGCGCCUAGCCUCACCUCGGCUGUUGUUCCACGAACAAACACCUCUGACGUAAACAGUGAAUUCUUCAUCAGUGUGCCGGAUGGCAGUUUCUAUGUUCAUGGAGCCAAGGCACAUGUAUUGGCCAAUGUCACUGACCUUUGGAUUUAAUAACCUCAGUCCGAGUUUGGGUAUGAACAACCAAUCAGUGGAAUUAUUUGGAUCCAACGACAAAACCUUGUAAGUAAUAUUUCUAUAAUGUUAUUUAACUAGUUGAUUAUGUGUUCAUUUACCUUAAAACUCCAAUCGAAUUCUCCGUUUGCGUUGGGCUCUCCGCGGAGGAGAGACACGGUGACGUUGGGAUGGGUGACCUUGCACGGAAUAUCCAGCGGAAUUCCUUGCACCGAAACAAAUUCCGUUUCGAUAUCCGUCUGGAUGAUUACAAGUUUUAUAACACCUAACCGUACAGACGUAUUGUUCGAUUUGAGUUCCUUGUUGAGUGGCGCAACUAAAAGUGCCCGUGUCCGAAGGAAAGGCCUCCAGUAAAUUCAUCGUCGAUCUCAGGUGCUGAAUGAAUUUGGCAAAAAUGUUGUAAUUAUUCUACCUCAGGGUGCAAAUCAGUGUUAGAUUGGAAUUUGAUUUGACCACCUGUUCUGUCACAGCCGGAAUCAUCUCUAGUGACUCCGCAUCCGAAUGGACGACCAGCAGCAAGACAAAUAUAAAUCCCUUGAAGAACAUUUGCAACUCAGAAUCGACUGGAGACACUCGAAGCACAAAUCAACUCUAAAUAACAGUUUACAUAUGCACCGCGGGAAGUGGUUAGCGAUGAUGUGUUUUGCCGGUGCGGAUUGAUUUUUUUCAUUGACGGUUGAUCUCAUCACGAGGCUUACCAAUCCGGGAAAUGGCUACUGUCACCGGAGUGUUCGUCGUUUAUAU